CCCGUACGGCGCAGCCAUUGGUGUUCUCUAGUCAGAUGAUGAGGGAGGGCCGGACUAAGUACCCAUCCCUCCAUGCCUGACACUCAACCUGUUGGAACUGUGAGCCUCAGGGAAUUGAAGUCCGGCUCUGAAAGCCCCUCUCUCCUCCUUCCGUCUGGUCUCAGCUCGCCCGGCAGGCGGAUUGAUCGCUCGCCGGUGCUGAAACCGCCAGCGGCCGCGGAGGCUCUCGCUGUUGCUGUGCUAAAAAUAAGCUGAUGCGGAUCCGGUUUUCCCUCCAGGCUUCGCAUCGCACGACAUGUCUACCACGGAGGGGGUCGUGGAGGAGUCUCGGGAGGAGGAAGGUAGGAGUUGUCUUCAUCCUCAAAUGUUCCCAAGUUUCGUUUUCCA